GCUCCCGCUAUUGGAUGAGCCUAUGUCGGAUUAGCUAGUUGGUGAGGUAAUGGCUCACCAAGGCGACGAUCCGUAGCUGGUCUGAGAGGAUGAUCAGCCACAUCGGGACUGAGACACGGCCCGAACUCCUACGGGAGGCAGCAGUGGGGAAUAUUGGACAAUGGGGGAAACCCUGAUCCAGCCAUGCCGCGUGUGUGAAGAAGGCCCUCGGGUUGUAAAGCACUUUCAGCGAGGAAGAACGCCUAUUGGUUAAUACCCGUUAGGAAAGACAUCACUCGCAGAAGAAGCACCGGCUAACUCCGUGCCAGCAGCCGCGGUAAUACGGAGGGUGCAAGCGUUAAUCGGAAUUACUGGGCGUAAAGCGCGCGUAGGUGGCUUGAUAAGCCGGUUGUGAAAGCCCCGGGCUCAACCUGGGAACGGCAUCCGGAACUGUCAGGCUAGAGUGCAGGAGAGGAAGGUAGAAUUCCCGGUGUAGCGGUGAAAUGCGUAGAGAUCGGGAGGAAUACCAGUGGCGAAGGCGGCCUUCUGGACUGACACUGACACUGAGGUGCGAAAGCGUGGGUAGCAAACAGGAUUAGAUACCCUGGUAGUCCACGCCGUAAACGAUGUCGACCAGCCGUUGGGUGCCUAGAGCACUUUGUGGCGAAGUUAACGCGAUAAGUCGACCGCCUGGGGAGUACGGCCGCAAGGUUAAAACUCAAAUGAAUUGACGGGGGCCCGCACAAGCGGUGGAGCAUGUGGUUUAAUUCGAUGCAACGCGAAGAACCUUACCUACCCUUGACAUCCAGCGAACUUGGAAGAGAUUGAUUGGUGCCUUCGGGAACUCUGAGACAGGUGCUGCAUGGCUGUCGUCAGCUCGUGUUGUGAAAUGUUGGGUUAAGUCCCGUAACGAGCGCAACCCUUGUCCUUAUUUGCCAGCGCGUAAUGGCGGGAACUCUAAGGAGACUGCCGGUGACAAACCGGAGGAAGGUGGGGACGACGUCAAGUCAUCAUGGCCCUUACGGGUAGGGCUACACACGUGCUACAAUGGCCGGUACAAAGGGCUGCGAGCUCGCGAGAGUCAGCUAAUCCCUUAAAGCCGGUCUCAGUCCGGAUCGGAGUCUGCAACUCGACUCCGUGAAGUCGGAAUCGCUAGUAAUCGUGAAUCAGAAUGUCACGGUGAAUACGUUCCCGGGCCUUGUACACACCGCCCGUCACACCAUGGGAGUGGACUGCACCAGAAGUGGUUAGC
rnacentral:rRNA from 1 species